CAGAGCUCCCUGCAUCGGCGGCCUACGGCCCGCUUUAUCCGCUCUUCUCUCCAUGGCCGGUUUCCACAUCUCUGCCGCUGACAUGUUUUGAUUCCCAGCAGCUUUUGUCGCCUUCAGCUGGCAUCGGGAGCGGGACACGGGGGGAGUCACCAAAGACUAAAACUUGAUUGGGGUGGAAAGUCUGUCAGGUUUAACCCCCAAACCGGAGCUGGGGCCGUGGGAGAGAGAAGCCCACGGAGAUUCUCAGGCAGCUCCGCCAUUCCAUACCCACGAGGUUUGUACCACGGGAGAGCAGCGAGCACCGGGGGUGAGAGGGGAAGGGAGCUGGAGGCAACUGGGAGCGCAGGUGAUAAAGGAGAGUGUGGGCAGACAUGGAAAGACAGGACAGGCAGCCGGCGUGCGACAUAAACUGGGGACACCUAGUACUGGAGUAUUUUUCUAAGCUGCAUUUUUUUAGACAUUUCCUCCAAUGUAGGGAGAAAAAUGAAAAGAAAUGCUCUCUCUGCAAGGAAAGGAGGCACCUCUCAGUGCAGCCCUACUAAGAUAAGCGUGACAGGGCCGUGUGUGCUUCUACCCCACGGCUGAGCACUUCCUCAAGGCAGAAAGAGCUGCUCCUGUCACCGGGGAGGGGACCAAGCCUGGCAGGAGCAGGGGAUGCCUCAAUACAGCCCCGACCGGCUAAUGGAAUGAGUCAUCGACAGAGUGGAUUAUUUAAAGCACCGUGAGCUGGGCAUAUCAAAGCUGCUGACACGAGUUGGAAGUGAUAGCGCUGCCCAUCGCUGCUGUUUUGGGGGAAAAAGCUGGAUUCCUGACCCCGUCCCCUUGGCCAGCCCCCGCCAAGGGCAGCAUUGCCGGGCUGGCCGUGAGCCCGGCCGGCUGUGCGGGGAUGUGCGGGGCCUUUCCCCGCCUUUCCAUCGCUGCCCUCCUGCCCUCGGCCGUCUGCACCGGCCGCCGGGGCGGCAGCUUAGUGCCGGAUUAGAGUUUCCAUUUAGAUCAGGUAAUUUAAGGGGGAGGGGGGAAAUUAUUAAAAAAAAAAAAAAAAAAAAAAAAUCAAAGCUAAUGCGACAUUGUCACACAUUGACUGCUAAGCACUCCCUAUCCACCUACUUACCCAGGGCUUGUGGAUUUGUCAUGUCAUAUUCUAUGACAGUCAGAUAAUAAUAUCUCACCCUGGAUAAGAUGCAUGGAUUUUAAAAAUGUCAGUCAACAUGACUGAUUUUUUUAUUUAGCAUUUCAAAAUCCCCUUAUUUUCACCUGCCUUGGGAAAAAAAAAUAUAUCUGGGCUGCGUGUCCCUCUUUAUAUGCCAUAUCUCUGUGAGAUGAAUAUGUUGGCUUAUUGGACAGUAAAAGGCCAGUCUCUAGGUGACAAUUGGGCUGCCAUUAUUCAGCAUUUUAUUCAUGCAUAUUUAGAGGAUGGUAAUGAGGAUUUUUGCAUUGUUGCAUGAAAAUGGUCAAUUCCCAGCAGUUUUGAUGGAAAGGAAGUGAAACAUAUGAGAUAGCUAUGUGUCCAGUCACAGCUGGGAUUUCAAAUGAUUUUCCUUCCCUUAGCCAUGCACUUUGCCUCUCAGACAGGACUAGCUCUGGUGUGGGCUCCUCUCCUCUCAUUCCCAUCUGACCAGGUUUUUACACACUACUUCUGCAGUUAUUAUCUGUUACUAAACAACAACACACAUUUGCUCUUUCUUGUGCUGCUGGUACUUUGUGUCUCCCUCCUUAAAUGUUUGCAUUUCUUUUUUAAAAAAAUAUUUAAAAUAUAUUUUUAAUAUGAUUGAAUAGUGCCAGGAAAUUAAUGCUUGUAAACCUGCC
ensembl:lncRNA